rnacentral:lncRNA from 12 species
UGAAGGGCCUUGGCUUUCCUGCAUGGGGGCAGUGGCUGCUUCCACAUUGGGGCCCCGGGACUGAUCUCCUGGUGGGCCAUGCGUGUGGCCAACGUGGAUGGGACCUACAGGUGACAGAGCUUCCCAAACAGAGCCUGAGCAUCUGGGGACGUAGGGAGGGCCUUGCAGGUGGCAUGACUCUCGUGGCUGCUGUCAGUGCCUCACAGAGAGAAAGCAGAAGAGAGGACAGACCAGGUGCAGAAGCCACUGGGUGCUUUUUCUCCAUUUGCAGAAGGUAAAGAGGAAAGAGCUUCUGUUAGAAACGGGAUUUCAAGGGAUGCCUGGGUGGCUCAGUGGUUAAGCAUUUGCCUUCGGCUCAGGUCAUGAUCCCCGGGUCCUGGGAUCGAGUCCCACAUUGGGCUCCCUGCAGGGAGCCUACUUCUCCCUCUGCCUGUGUCUCUGCCUCACACAGCUGGGGGUGGACGCAGAGCUGCUCACGUCCUUCCAGACACAGGGGGCGCCAGGGGGGCCCCGUCACCAAGGGCCCUGGACUCCAACCACAAAGCAAACCCAAACAUGCCUGGGGUUGAGGGGUCACGUGUAAGUCCUGAUAGAGCCUUGGCAUCCAGAAGUCUGGGCGCCAGGCGCUCACACCACAGGAACGGGGCAAGGGCCCCAAGCUGGCUGCUGCGUCCCUUCGUGGAGGAGUGUUUCCAUUUGUGGAAGUCAGGCCUCAGCCCAGAAGGCCCAAAGCCCACCCCCUCCCUCCCGGGGCGCCAGCUCUGAGGCAAGAGACCAUCCCCUUCCUGGCUUCACUUCCUUCAUCUCGCUUCCCCACCGUGAGCCACCGGCCUCCUGCCCUCUGGCCUCUGCUCCCCGACAUCUGCAUGACUCAAGGCAGGGGCUUGCACUCAGCCUCCAGGAGCAUCGAAGCACGGAGCCCAGAGCCUGCAGACUGCACUCUUCCAGGCCAUGUGAUAGACAAGAAUGCAGUCCAUGAGUGCGAGUGUAAACAGACUAGACGGGGAGUCCAGACUCUGGAGAUGAGCAAGGACAUCACCCUGCUGGCCGCCCUGCAUUGCCUCUAGCCCCUCCGGGUGAGCCUCCCCUCCCACACCGAGGGUCGCCUCCGCCUCUGCCUCCUGCCCGCCUCCCCACCCAGGUGCCCAACCACACCUGUUUGGGGUCUUGGGGCUCCCAGAGCCGGUCUUGCC